GAUGAACGCUAGCUACAGGCUUAACACAUGCAAGUCGAGGGGCAGCAUGGUCUUAGCUUGCUAAGGCCGAUGGCGACCGGCGCACGGAUGAGUAACACGUAUCCAACCUGCCGUCUACUCUUGGACAGCCUUCUGAAAGUAAGAUUAAUACAAGAUGGCAUCAUGAGUCCGCAUGUUCACAUGAUUAAAGGUAUUCCGGUAGACGAUGGGGAUGCGUUCCAUUAGAUAGUAGGCGGGGUAACGGCCCACCUAGUCUUCGAUGGAUAGGGGUUCUGAGAGGAAGGUCCCCCACAUUGGAACUGAGACACGGUCCCAACUCCUACGGGAGGCAGCAGUGAGGAAUAUUGGUCAAUGGGCGAGAGCCUGAACCAGCCAAGUAGCGUGAAGGAUGACUGCCCUAUGGGUUGUAAACUUCUUUUAUAAAGGAAUAAAGUCGGGUAUGGAUACCCGUUUGCAUGUACUUUAUGAAUAAGGAUCGGCUAACUCCGUGCCAGCCGCCGCCGUAAGAC
rnacentral:rRNA from 1 species